rnacentral:rRNA from 1 species
AGAGUUUGAUCAUGGCUCAGAUUGAACGCUGGCGGCAUGCUUAAUACAUGCAAGUCGAACGGUAACAGAUUCUUCGGAAUGCUGACGAGUGGCGGACGGGUGAGUAAUACAUAGGAAUCUGCCCAUGUAGUGGGGGACAACUUGGGGAAACUCAAGCUAAUACCGCAUAAUUCCUACGGGAUAAAGAGGGCCACUGCUUGCAAGCUCUUGCUACUGGAUGAGCCUAUGUCGGAUUAGUUAGUUGGUAAGGUAAUGGCUUACCAAGACAGCGAUCCGUAGCUGGUUUGAGAGGAUGAUCAGCCACACUGGGACUGAGACACGGCCCAGACUCCUACGGGGGGCAGCAGUAGGGAGUAUUGGACAAUGGGCGCAAGCCUGAUCCAGCAAUGCCGCGUGUGUGAAGAAGGCCUGCGGGUUGUAAAGCACUUUCAAUUGGGAAGAAAGAUUAUGAGUUAAUACCUUAUAAUAUUGACGU